AUGGAAAAGAUUCUUUGGAGAUCUGCUACGAGGAUUCUUCCUACUAAGUCAAAUCUUCAAAAGAAGGGGGUGAGUGUGGAUGGUAAUUGUGUCUUCUGCCAAUUUUUCCAUGAGUCCUCAGACCAUCUCUUUCUACAAUGUCGGUUUGCGAAACAAGUAUGGUUUUCAUCUCCACUUGGCUGUUGUAUUCCUCCUUUUGUGAAUAUUCUUGACUGGUUGGAAACAUGUUUGAAUGGUGAAGAUAACUUUUGUGUCCAAUUAUCGUGUUAUAUCCCCUGGAAGAUUUGGAAAGCUCGCAACAAACUCUUGUUCGAACAAUUGUUGCUUCAUUCAGGUUAA